AUCCAGACUCCUACGGGAGGCAGCAGUGGGGAAUAUUGGGCAAUGGGCGCAAGCCUGACCCAGCAACGCCGCGUGAAGGAAGAAGGCUUUCGGGUUGUAAACUUCUUUUCUCAGGGACGAAAGAAGUGACGGUACCUGAAUAAGAAGCCCCGGCUAACUUCGUGCCAGCAGCCGCGGUAAUACGAAGGGGGCAAGCGUUGUUCGGAAUUACUGGGCGUAAAGGGAGUGUAGGCGGUUUAGUAAGAUAGUGGUGAAAUCCCAGGGCUUAACUUUGGAAUUGCCAUUAUAACUAUUAGACUAGAAUUACAGAGAGGAUAGUGGAAUACCCAGUGUAGAGGUGAAAUUCGUAGAUAUUGGGUAGAACACCAGUGGCGAAGGCGACUAUCUGGCUGUACAUUGACGCUGAGGCUCGAAAGCAUGGGGAUCAAACAGGAUUAGAUACCCGUGUA
rnacentral:rRNA from 1 species